GACGAACGCUGGCGGCGUGCUUAACACAUGCAAGUCGAACGGAAAGGCUUCUUUCGGGGGGUACUCGAGUGGCGAACGGGUGAGUAACACGUGAGUAACCUGCCCUUGACUUUGGGAUAACUUCAGGAAACUGGGGCUAAUACCGGAUAGGAGCUCCUGCUGCAUGGUGGGGGUUGGAAAGUUUCGGCGGUUGGGGAUGGACUCGCGGCUUAUCAGCUUGUUGGUGGGGUAGUGGCUUACCAAGACUUUGACGGGUAGCCGGCCUGAGAGGGUGACCGGCCACAUUGGGACUGAGAUACGGCCCAGACUCCUACGGGAGGCAGCAGUGGGGAAUAUUGCACAAUGGGUGGAAGCCUGAUGCAGCAACGCCGUGUGCGGGAUGACGGCCUUCGGGUUGUAAACCGCUUUCGCUCAUGACGAAGCUUUGUGUGACGGUAGUGGGUAAAGAAGCACCGGCUAACUACGUG
rnacentral:rRNA from 1 species